CCUACGGGAGGCAGCAGUGGGGAAUUUUGGACAAUGGGCGCAAGCCUGAUCCAGCAAUGCCGCGUGCAGGAUGAAGGCCUUCGGGUUGUAAACUGCUUUUGUACGGAACGAAACGGUCUGCUCUAAUACAGUGGGCUAAUGACGGUACCGUAAGAAUAAGCACCGGCUAACUACGCGCCAGCAGCCGCGGUAAUACGUAGGGUGCGAGCGUUAAUCGGAAUUACUGGGCGUAAAGCGUGCGCAGGCGGUUAUAUAAGACAGAUGUGAAAUCCCCGGGCUCAACCUGGGACCUGCAUUUGUGACUGUAUAGCUAGAGUGCGGCAGAGGGGGAUGGAAUUCCGCGUGUAGCAGUGAAAUGCGUAGAUAUGCGGAGGAACACCGAUGGCGAAGGCAAUCCCCUGGGCCUGCACUGACGCUCAUGCACGAAAGCGUGGGGAGCAAACAGGAUUAGAUACCCUGGUAGUCCACGCCCUAAACGAUGUCAACUGGUUGUUGGGUCUUCACUGACUCAGUACGAAGCUAACGCGUGAAGUUGACCGCCUUGGGGAGUACGGCCGCAAGGUUGAACUUCAAAGGGAUUGACGG
rnacentral:rRNA from 1 species